GACGAACGUUGGCGGCGUGCUUAACACAUGCAAGUCGAGCGGUAAGGCCUUUCGGGGUACACGAGCGGCGAACGGGUGAGUAACACGUGGGUGAUCUGCCCUGCACUUCGGGAUAAGCCUGGGAAACUGGGUCUAAUACCGGAUAUGACCUCCUAUCGCAUGGUGGGUGGUGGAAAGAUUUAUCGGUGCAGGAUGGGCCCGCGGCCUAUCAGCUUGUUGGUGGGGUAAUGGCCUACCAAGGCGACGACGGGUAGCCGACCUGAGAGGGUGACCGGCCACACUGGGACUGAGACACGGCCCAGACUCCUACGGGAGGCAGCAGUGGGGAAUAUUGCACAAUGGGCGAAAGCCCGAUGCAGCGACGCCGCGUGAGGGAUGACGGCCUUCGGGUUGUAAACCUCUUUCAGCAGGGACGAAGCGCAAGUGACGGUACCUGCAGAAGAAGCACCGGCUAACUACGUG
rnacentral:rRNA from 1 species